rnacentral:rRNA from 1 species
GCCCCAGUAACGGCGAGUGAAGCGGCAACAGCCCAGAUUUGAAAUCUGACUCCUUCGGGGUCCGAGUUGUAAUCUGCAGAUGGGUUUUCCGGCGAGGCGCGCGUCCAAGUUCCCUGGAAUGGGAUGCCGAAGAGGGUGAGAGCCCCGUACAGGCGCACGCCGAGCCUCUGUGAGGCCCAUUCGACGAGUCGAGUAGUUUGGAAAUGCUGCUCUAAUCGUGGGGUAAAUCUCCCAUAAGGCUAAAUAUCGGCCGGAGACCGAUAGCGCACAAGUAGCGUGAGCGAAAGAUGAAAAGAGCCUUGGAUAAGGGCGUCAAAAAGCAUGUGAAAUUGUUGUGGGGGAAGCGCUCGUCGCCAGACGUGGCG